rnacentral:piRNA from 1 species
AAGUGUAGGGGUGGUUAAGAAAGG